AGUAGCAUAUGCUUAUCUUGGAGAUUAAGCCAUGCAUGUCUAAGUUUAAGUAUUUAACGGCGAAACUGCGAAUGGCUCAUUAAAACAGUUAUAGUAUAUUUGAUAAUGUUUUUACAUGGAUAACCGUGGGAAACUAGAGCUAAUACAUGCAUAAAGGCCUUCGGGUUGUAUUUAUUAGCUAUAACCUUUCGCUUUGCGUAUAGAGGAAUCAUAAUAACUGAUCGGAGCGCACUAAAGCUGCGCUAAAUCUUUCUAGUUUCUGCCCUAUCAGCUUGAUGGUAGUGUAUUGGACUACCAUGGCUAUCACGGGUAACGGAGAAUUGGGGUUCGAUUCCAGAGAAGGAGCCUGAGAAACGGCUACUACAUCUACGGGAGGCAGCAGGCGCGUAAAUUACCCAAUCCUGACUCAGGGAGGUAGUCACAAGAAAUA
rnacentral:rRNA from 1 species